rnacentral:rRNA from 1 species
UACGAAGGGGGCUAGCGUUGCUCGGAAUCACUGGGCGUAAAGCGCACGUAGGCGGCUUUUUAAGUCAGGGAUGAAAUCCUGGAGCUCAACUCCAGAACUGCCUUUGAUACUGGGAAGCUUGAGUCCGGAAGAGGUGAGUGGAACUCCGAGUGUAGAGGUGAAAUUCGUAGAUAUUCGGAGGAACACCAGUGGCGAAGGCGGCUCACUGGUCCGGUACUGACGCUGAGGUGCGAAAGCGUGGGGAGCAAACAGG